CAGUCGGUAGUCAAAUUGUAGCUGAUUUUCUGGCAAAUUUCAUUUUUCUUCUUCUCUUGUUUUAACAGAUGUCCUUUUUAUUCAUGAGUUUAAAUUCAACCUUAUAUCUGUUAUCAAAAAAAAAAAAAAAAAAAAAAACUACUGUUCAAGCUUUACCACUUACAAAAUCAGCUACAAUUUGACUACCGACUGAUAAUUUUACAGUAAUUGGUUUAAUCAUUUUGUAAGUGGUAAAGCUUGAACAGUAGAUUUUUCAUUGGAAUCAAAACCUCCAGAAUCUUCAGUCUGAUCAGAAUCUCCUUCAGAGUCUUCUUUAUAUCCAGUAAUACAUGUUUCAUGCCAUACGCCUUCUCGAUACCCAAAAGUUUGUCAUGAACUUAUGCC
rnacentral:misc_RNA from 1 species